UACGUAGGGUCCGAGCGUUGUCCGGAAUUAUUGGGCGUAAAGGGCUCGUAGGCGGUCUGUUGCGUCGGGAGUGAAAAUUCACAGCUUAACUGUGAACUUGCUUUCGAUACGGGCAGACUAGAGGUAUGCAGGGGAGAACGGAAUUCCUGGUGUAGCGGUGAAAUGCGCAGAUAUCAGGAGGAACACCGGUGGCGAAGGCGGUUCUCUGGGCAUUACCUGACGCUGAGGAGCGAAAGUGUGGGGAGCGAACAGG
rnacentral:rRNA from 1 species